AAUCCAGAUUCCUGGGCUCUAGGCCUAGCUCUGCCACUGACUUGCUGUGUGGCCCUGGGCAAGUCACUUCAUCACUCUGUGCCUGACCCAGCCACGUUCUCUUUUCCUCAGAUCUGCAACCAGGCCCUACAGAUGCAUGGGGGCUAUGGCUACCUGAAAGACUAUGCUGUGCAGCAGUUCAUGAGAGACAUCAGAGUCCACCAGAUCUUGGAAGGUACCAACGAGGUGAUGAGGAUGAUUGUGGCCAGGAGUCUAUUACAGGAGUGAAACCAGGAGCUGGUCUCUAGUCUUAAUACACUUCACUUGCUAGGUAGAACAUUGUCUAUUGCUCCAGUUUCCAUAGACUCCUUCCCGGGGAGUGGGACUGUACCAGUGGAAACUCUCUCUUGACUUUUUCUGAUCCCAAGCACAGCUGUAUGCAGGCCACGUGGGGUCCCAGCUGUAUGAGGUGCCUGGCAGAGCCGCUGGUGUCAAGGACGCCAAAGAUAAAAAUCAGACAUGAAUGAAAGCCUUUGUCCCUGUCUCCUGACUAUGGGCCACUGCUGCUGCCCUGCCCCUCCUCAGACAGAAACUUUAGACCUGUGGGGUCAUCCAGUCCACCUUUGUGCCAAGACAGGAUUAAAACAGAGGGAAUCCAGUCAGCCCCUUCCUUCCCCGGGGCAUGUCUAAGGCAGAUAUGGAGGCAUAGCCUGCUGAUUAAUUUCAGGCAGGACUGUGCACAUGCGUGGUCUCCUAUGGAUCAAAAAGGCAACUCCUUUGAAUCACAGGGAGAAUUUGUUGCCUUGUUUAAACCCUUGUCUUUACAAGCUGCUGUGCUGCAGCACUGAUGCAAGUCAUCCAUAAAGAUUGUGUCUCCAUGAGUUGUUACAAAGUGAAGUGAGCAUUUAAAACCCAUUGAAGGGAAUGGGGAGUGCCUGGUGCUAAUCUGAAAGCAUCACUGCUUCUCAUUUCCUAGAGUUCUCUUACCUACUACAACUGGCUCUUGCUUCACCCCAUCUCACUAAUGCUUUCAUUAGCAUUAUGAAUCCUGGGUAAUGGGAUCAGAGGGAUAGAUGAGAGAGUCUUGCACAAGAAAACCUAGGCUCUUUAUUCUCAAAUUUACUCUGCCCAGAAAUGUAUAAUAUGAGCAGAGUCAGAGCUUUGAUCAGGUUUACUCCCUCCCCAAUGUCGGAAUCAAUAAAGCUAUGACAGUAAAAUCACAA